rnacentral:lncRNA from 1 species
UGUUGCUAUGAUAAUAAGUCUCAGAUCAGUUUUGAAGAACGAAACGAUCCUGGAUCAUAUCAAAUCGUCAAUAACCAAAUCCAGCUAACUGAGUAAUCCACGUACGAAGAACGGACCCCUGGAAAACACAUGGAACAUUAGAGAAAACAUAAAUUGUCCUGGAAAACAAGUUUCAUUGGCAGAGAAAAGCAUGAGUUUUAAAUGUUUAUGUUCUUUAAAGAGCAGUUUAAAGUUGGCACAUUAACUUCCAUUUUGAUAAUCACAGUUUUACCGUAAAUACGGUUAAAUUCUAGUUGGUGUUGCAAAUCCAUGGUUAAUUUGUGGUUCCUAUUGUCGCUGUAGUUAGACCAUUGUUUUGGCACCUUGGAUUGGAAUAACAUUUGCC